rnacentral:lncRNA from 1 species
GUAAAUGAUGGAGACGUUUGACGUGACAUUGAGCUGAGAGUGCGCACAGGCUGGGAGGGAGAGACCUGGGACGCGCGAGCGUCUGUCAGCCAAUCAUCCGCUAAUCAGAGAGCUCAAAUUAAAAGAGUGCGUGUUUGGAGUCGAGGACGGGAUGAUGGCGCAGAGCCGGAGUGAUUGUGAACUUCACCAAUGUUUACUGGAAAAGGAGAGAG